CCAGUCCACUGUUGAUGGAUGUUUUAGGUGGAUUCCAUGUCUUUGCUAUUGUGAAUAGAAUACUGUGAUGAACAUACACUUGCAUAUGUCUGCCUUCAUGACAAAGACUCCAAAAGCAACAGUCUUACUUUCAGUCCAGUGCUUAAAUCCUUUCAACUCAGUGUCCAGUGUAUAGGUAUACACACUAUGUAUAUGUAUACACAGAUAUAUGCAUGUGCAUAUGUGCGUACACACACUCACACACGUGAACCUCCUAUAGCAGACCAUUCUUGGUGCUCCCUCAUGUUCCCUCAAUCUUAUAACUUCAAUGCAGACCAACCUAACUUGCAACUCCAAAUUCAAUGCCUGAGGACUUUCUUUGCACCAAAGCACUUUGUCCACCCAUUUGGCAGGCUAGAAGUGCAGCCCUCAGCCAAGGACUAUCGGGAGUUGGUAUAUAAAUCCCCCAACUCCCUUUCCCAUCACAGGGAGAGCUCCGAGGUUUAGGGCCUACACUGUUUCUCAGAAAUUUUCCCAGUGGAAUUAAGCUUCAGGUGCUCUCAACUGCAAUGAGUUUCAAAAUAUACACUUUAUUUCUGCCUUCUCUUUACUGUCUCAUUCUCCACUCCCCUACUGUUUUUUCCUGGGAUCAUCUCUAAAAUACCUGACUUGAAUCCUUAUCUUAGGAUUUUCUUCAGAACCUAAGUUUGGGGAAUCCAAAGUAAGACAUUCCUCAUCCCUAAAUUUAGGGUAAUGAUGCUCCCAUAGUGAGCAUUAAGUGAGAAAAUUGCAUGUAAAGUGUAAAUCACAGUGCCUGGUUCAAGUAGGUGAUCAUUAAUAUUUAUUAUUAUUACUGCUAUCCCCAUUUUUGUUAAAGCAUAUUUCCUCACUAUCUUCUGAUCUUUCCAGGCUCUCACCAUCUCAUUUGCUGUCUCUUUCCAACACUGUGGCUUUCAUCCCCAACCACUAAAAUGCAGGCUGACCAAAGGAGGACAGUAGCCCUGUAUUCAUUGGCAUCAGUCACUUGUGGCUUCUCAACAGACCUUCUACCCAGGUGUCCAGAUUCCUCAGGAAUCUUUGGGAAGCAAAAUCAACGGGGAACUCAGUGGCAACAAGCUGUGUGUUAUUUUUCUGUAUUAUAACUUUGCAUCUGUGUUUCCCCUUCUGGCUGGAGCAGAAGCAGGAGCCACUUCAUGCUGUUGGGUGCAGGCUCUGGUGAUGACGAUCAAAGAGUAAAGGUUAUUGGUCCCAGACAUGACAGUUUCAUCUCCAGGGGCCAUAAACAGUAGUGGCUCCGGAAUCCAAGCAAAAAGGUGAAUGAGAAAAACAGAGUAAUGUAGUACAUGAUGAGCUGGAGAAUGGGAUCCCAGCCUAAAGAAUUUUAAAUUAAGAUAUUUAAAAACUGUGUGAGAGCCAAGAAAUCCAUAUAUAGCCCCACAAAAUGUGCACCCCCGCCUUUGCCCGAACCCAGCCUUAACAGUUUACAAAGUUUUGUUGCAGUCUACAAACCAUUUACGAAGCAUUUGGUCCUCUUUACAGUCUUGUGUGGUCAGCCAGAAUUUAUUAUCAGAAUCUCCAUUUUAGAGUGCAAGGAAUUGAGGACCUCAACAUUUAAAUGCCUCUUCUAAGAAAAGAGCACACAGUUAAAACGCAUGAAAUAUCUGAUUCUAAACACUGUGUUGUUUCUAUGAACACACUCAGAGGUGGGGUUUUGGGGACAGAAUCUCCUUCACAAGGUUGUGGAGGGUUGAAUCACCGAUGAACUAAACUCUUGUUGAAAAGGGAGAGUCUUCAAAAGAGUGAGUAUGAUUUAUGGCAACUCAUCCAUGUCAGCAGAUCAGUCACUCAGAGAGGAUAAUAAACUCACCGAAUAAAGGACAAAAGGAUAUUCGACAUGAGGGCAGGACUUUUCGUUCACGGUGUAUACUGGGUCUAAUGUUGCCCCUCAAAUUCAUGUCCACCCAGGACCUCAGAAUAUGUCCUCAUUUGAAAAGAGGGUCUUUGCUAACAUGACUAAGGUAAAAAGUGAGGUGAGAUCAUACUGGAAUUUGGACCCUGAACCCAGUGAAUAUCCUUGUAACAUGAUGUUAUCUGUCCUAUAGGAGCUUCCUGAUGAUUCCAUGUCAAGAUGGUUGUGAAAGUUCAGUGCCUGGUGCAUGCAACCUGGCACUGGAGGCAGAAGAAGGAUUCUAUGAUUGGAAACCUUCCAGACUCACCUGCUACGGAGAAGAAAGGCUAAAUCCACCAGACUGUUGGAUGGACUUAAAACAAAUUGCCCUCUGCAGCUAGGUUUCUUAUUAAUAUACUCAUAGAAAUGCACGAGAACUGAAAACUUGAUAGGGAAACCAAAAAAUAAAAGUAAAGCUAUAAACCAAUGUUUCUUAAAACAUGCUCUGCAGAACACUCGUUUGGUGGAAUGUAAAGCAUUUUUUCAUAUUAAAGGUGUUAAUCGUGUUUCUCUGCUA